rnacentral:tRNA from 1 species
AAUUAUUAAGCUUUGAAAUAGCAUUUGUUUUGAAAACUUAAGAAAGAUAAUUAUUAUCUAAUAAUUU